AGAAUUUAUUUUGAACUUAAGAUUUAAGAUGAUUCACGCCGGAUUGAGAAAAAGAAUUUAUUUUAAUUCCAACAAAAAUGAUUUACAAAAACAUUUGUAAAUUUAGUUAUUAAAUUUAUAUGCAUUGCAUAUUUAUUUAAUUUAGCAUUCAAAGCAUUUUCACGAGCUUUUAUUUAAGCAAACACUGAAGAAUUAUUACAGUUUUCAUAGUACAACCGGGAAGACUUUUUAUUUUAUUAUUUUAUUCCUCCCACUACUCCCACCUAUUUCCACUCACACGUUACUUUUGUCUUCCACCCAUCCACCACCUAUCUCCACUUUACAACACUAAAAAUUAGCUAAAUUCCCAUCCACCACCUACUCCCACCCUGUACUUACUCUCUUUCCAGCUUUAAACCAUGAUGGAAAGCAAAUAUUGUAGUCAUGUUUCCACUCUUCUCCUACGCCAAUAAUUCACAAGUCACCAACCUCAACAUAUACUCAUUCAGAGUUCAAGUUUAUCUCAACAUAUACUCAUUCAGAGUUCAAGUUUAGCCAAGAACAACAGGAAGCAUAUGACAACAGCCGCACGCCUCAAUUUAUAAUUCCAAAGGCUUUGUGGACCAAGGGGAUUAGCACUGCUUUCCCAAGACAGGUUAUGUGAUUAUGAUCUUCAGGCUUUGCCUAUCCAGGUUGAGCAGUUGAUGGAAUGGAAUGAUGUUGAGCGGGUGUUCCUUUGACAUUUCAAGAAAUGUAACCUUGAGUAUACAUCUUCAUAUGUAUAUCUCACACGUUUUCCGCUGCAAAACACUUUGAUUAGGAUAGCUCUAUGAUAUGAAGUUGUGAUACGUGUUAUUGGGUAACCACCUUAAUCAGUUCUCAAUUAUGUGUAUCCAAAUAAUCAUAUAUGAUCCUACCAUUUUAUCUAUGAGUGACAUUUCCAUA